AACGAACGCUGGCGGCAGGCCUAACACAUGCAAGUCGAACGCUGCAGCAAUGCAGAGUGGCAGACGGGUGAGUAACGCGUGGGAACCUUCCCAGUGGUACGGAAUAGCCCAGGGAAACUUGGGGUAAUACCGUAUAAGCCCCUAGGGGGAAAGAUUUAUCGCCAUUGGAUGGGCCCGCGUCGGAUUAGCUAGUUGGUGAGGUAACGGCUCACCAAGGCAACGAUCCGUAGCUGGUGAGAGAAUGACCAGCCACACUGGGACUGAGACACGGCCCAGACUCCUACGGGAGGCAGCAGUGGGGAAUCUUGGACAAUGGGCGCAAGCCUGAUCCAGCCAUGCCGCGUGAGUGACGAA
rnacentral:rRNA from 1 species